UACGUAGGGUGCGAGCGUUGUCCGGAAUUAUUGGGCGUAAAGGGCUCGUAGGCGGUUUGUCGCGUCGGGAGUGAAAAUCCAGGGCUUAACUCUGGACUGGCUUUCGAUACGGGCAGACUAGAGGUAUGCAGGGGAGAACGGAAUUCCUGGUGUAGCGGUGAAAUGCGCAGAUAUCAGGAGGAACACCGGUGGCGAAGGCGGUUCUCUGGGCAUUACCUGACGCUGAGGAGCGAAAGCUAGGGGAGCAAACGGG
rnacentral:rRNA from 1 species